ensembl:lncRNA
UUCUACUUUUCCUUUAAGGAGUCCACUUUAUUUUGAAACAUCCGUGCUCUUAUUGUGACGACGCCAACCGGACGUGGUGAGCUCCUUCACGGCAGCUUGACGCACGCGCAUUGAGUCGAGGAAGCGAAGUGAUCCGCGCGGUUCCGAGGCUGCGGUUCGACACCAGGCUCGACCCGGUGUCUCUACACGGAGCUCGACCUUUAUCCGAGGAUGGAAGAGCACCCGAAGAAGUCUCUCACAGCCUGACAAGUCGGCGGGACGCAGAAAACGCCAAGAAGUGCGGGGACAUAAUGUGUUAGCGCCCGUUAGGAGCGGGGCUGGUUACGGAUGGUACGGUGUGUCCGGGCAGGUAAACGUUAGCUUGACUAGCCGCUCAGCUAGUAGCAGCAGGAGGCUAGGAGGCUAACAGCCGCUGACCAACUAACUAGUUGGGCUGGAUGAACUGUGGCCAGAGUCGGUACCGAACCCACCGAGCAUGGGUCGUUUGUGUCCCACAAACCAUCCUCUGUCCCUGUGAACUGUCACUAUCCGCCCUUUUCAUUGUCUUCAAGGAGAAACUAGCGGCAGAGGUGCUCCAGCGCUGAUUGACAGCUCGUCACACCGGGGUUCCCAGAUGUGGAGGCGGCGUGAGAGGCGCAGCUAGGCUCCGGGGCAGCUAGCUGCAGGACGGGCUGCUCACCAGGAAUGGAUGACACCAACAAACUUUUCUGCGGACUCUCAACUCAGCACAGGGCUUCAACAAAGCGAUGAGUUUCAUUUUGCCAGUGAGGUGUCACUGUAGUCCACAGCAGACGAGCUGACACGUCGAGUUUGCCCAGUGUUUGUCUAGAGGUCUGAGCCCCGACAGAACCAGCUCCCUCCGGGGUCAGCCCCGCAAACGAGGAGCCUUUUUACACUUACACGAACUAUGAAGAGGACAGAAAACAAAAACAAGAGGAAACUCAACAUGGAACAGCAGGACAGCGUCGGAGAGGACAAAGAUGCGAAGGAGUUUGCAGCCCCCCCUCCUCUCCUCUUCAGGAAGCUGAGUAAUCCCGACCUAUCACCUGCAGCAGCGACCGCCACAAAAUCCAAACUUCACAGACAGCUCAGCCAGGAUGAGAGCCGGGCUCGACGCAGCAGCAUGGCUAUGACUGGUAAGCAGCUGCUGCCUCUGUCUAGCAGUCUGCACACAGGGGUGAGUCAGCUAGCCUGGCAAGGGGCCUCUGGAGGAGAGGUGAACAACCUGGUCCGCAUGAGGAGCCAGGCUCUGGGACAGUCUGCUCCAUCACUCACUGGACUGAAGGAGUUGAGCCUUCCCAGAAGAGGCAGCUUCUGUCGGACGAGCAACAGGAAAAGCCUGAUAGUGACAUCUAGCACCUCCCCCACUCUGCCACGACCACACUCUCCUCUGCACGGGCACACAGGUACCAGUCCCCUCGACAGCCCUCGCAACUUCUCCCCGAACACAGCUGCACACUUCUCCUUUGUUCCUGCUCGCAGUCACGGACACAGGGCUGACAGGACGGAUGGCAGACGCUGGUCUCUGGCCUCCCUGCCUUCCUCUGGCUAUGGUACCAACACUCCCAGCUCCACUGUCUCGUCCUCCUGUUCAUCUCAGGAGAAACUGCACCAGCUGCCCUUCCAGCCCACGCCGGACGAGCUGCACUUCCUCACCAAACACUUCAGCUCAGAGAGCAUCACAGACGAGGAGGGACGCCGCUCCCCCGCCAUGAGACCGCGCUCCCGCAGCCUCAGCCCGGGACGCUCCCCCAUCUCCUUUGACCAUGAGAUUGUUAUGAUGAACCAUGUGUACAAGGAGAGGUUCCCUAAGGCGACGGCUCAAAUGGAGGAGCGACUGGCUGAGCUGCUCUCCUCCUCGGCCCCAGAGAAAGUCUGCCCACUGGCCGACGGGGUCCUGAGCUUCAUCCACCAUCAGCUGAUAGAGCUGUCAAGAGACUGCCUGGAGAAAAGCAGAGAGGGCCUCAUCACUUCUCGCUACUUCUACGAGCUCCAGGAGAAUCUGGAGAAGCUGCUGCAAGAUGCUCACGAGCGCUCAGAGAGUGUGGAGGUUACCUUUGUCACACAACUUGUAAAGAAACUGAUGAUCAUCAUUGCCCGGCCUGCACGCCUGCUGGAGUGUCUGGAGUUUGAUCCUGAGGAAUUUUACCACUUGUUGGAAGCAGCAGAGGGCCAUGCCAAGGAGGGCCAGGGCAUCAAGUCCGACAUCCCCAGAUACAUCAUCAGCCAGCUGGGCCUUACCAGGGACCCCCUGGAGGAGACCCGGCAGCGUUUCGCCAUGAAGAAGAUCAACAAACAGAACCUGAUUCUGAGAAACCAGAUCCAGCAGGCCUUUGUGGAACGAGACAUCCUGACGUUUGCUGAGAACCCGUUUGUCGUCUCUAUGUUCUGUUCUUUUGAGACUAGGAGGCACCUCUGCAUGGUGAUGGAGUAUGUAGAGGGUGGAGACUGUGCCACGCUGCUGAAGAAUAUUGGAGCCCUGCCGGUCGAUAUGGCUCGUAUGUACUUUGCAGAGACCGUCCUCGCAUUAGAGUAUCUUCAUAAUUAUGGCAUCGUCCACAGAGACCUUAAACCAGACAAUCUUCUCAUCACUUCGAUGGGACACAUUAAGCUGACAGACUUUGGUCUGUCUAAGAUUGGUUUGAUGAGUUUGACGACAAACCUGUAUGAAGGACACAUUGAGAAAGACACCAGAGAAUUCCUGGAUAAGCAGGUGUGUGGCACCCCAGAGUACAUCGCCCCAGAGGUGAUUCUACGUCAAGGCUACGGGAAACCGGUGGACUGGUGGGCGAUGGGAGUCAUCCUGUACGAGUUCCUGGUGGGCUGCGCUCCCUUCUUCGGAGACACACCAGAGGAACUGUUUGGGCAGGUCAUCAGUGAUGAGAUUAUGUGGCCUGAGGAGGAUGAAGCUCUGCCUCAGGAGGCUCAGGAUCUCAUCUCCAAACUGCUAAGACAAAACCCCCUGGAGCGACUGGGCACAGGAAGUGCCUAUGAGGUGAAGCAGCACCCAUUCUUCACAGAGCUGGACUGGAACAGCCUGCUGAGACAGAAAGCAGAAUUCAUCCCCCAGCUGGAGUCUGAGGACGACACCAGCUACUUUGACACUCGGUCUGAUCGGUACCACCACGUCGAUUCAGAGGAAGAAGACGACACCAACGAUGAUGAACACGUGGAGAUUCGGCAGUUCUCCUCCUGCUCACCUCGCUUCAGCAAGGUGUACAGUAGUAUGGAGCGUCUAUCCCUGCACGAGGAGAAGAGGACUCCUCCUCCCACCAAACGCAGCCUCAGUGAGGAAGGAGGAGAUCGCAUUGACAGCCUGAGUGGACUCAAGUCCAGAGAUCGAUCCUGGCUGGUGGGCUCUCCAGAGAUACUGCGGAAGCGUCUGUCAGUCUCUGAGUCGUCCCACACAGAGAGUGACUCCAGCCCACCUCUGACAGUCCGGAGACGCUGCUGCUCUGCUAUCAUUGAGAUGCCACGUCCGAGUGCAGUGAGAGGUCCCCGGGGCGAAGAGCUCCCCCUCGCCAUCCCAGAGAUCCCAGUGGAGAGAGAGCUGAAGCUGGACGAGUCUCCCACCACCCCAAGCUCCACCUGUAGCCAGCUAAGCAGGGCCACGCUCACACCCGACAGUGACUCUCCAUCGACUCCAAAGGCCAUCAGUGACCUGGCUGCUCGCAGGGCUCGCCAUCGGCUGCUGUCAGGAGACACGGACAAGCAUACCACAACGCCGAGCUCCUUCUGUACGUCCUCAGACCACCAUGGAGCCUCCCCACUAGCCAGCCCAAUGUCACCCCACUCGUUAUCUUCCAACCCAUCAUCACGAGACUCUUCUCCAAGCCGAGACCUGUCCCCUGCCGUGAGCAGCAUCAAACCUGCCAUCAUCAUCCACAGAGCGGGAAAGAAGUACGGAUUCACAUUAAGAGCCAUCCGCGUCUAUAUGGGAGACUCUGACAUCUACACGGUGCACCACAUGGUCUGGCAUGUGGAGGGGGGCGGUCCAGCCCAUGAAGCCGGGCUGAGGGAGGGCGAUCUGAUCACUCAUGUCAACGGAGAGCCGGUCCACGGUCUGGUUCACACUGAGGUGGUGGAGCUCAUACUGAAGAGCGGUGCCAAAGUGUCCAUCUCUGCCACCCCGUUUGAGAACACGUCCAUCAAAGUCGGCCCUGCCCGAAAAACAAGCCACAAAUCCAAGAUGGCGCGACGCAACAAGAAGACCAAGAACAAGGAGGGACAAGACAGUAAGAAGAGGACGUCUCUGUUCAGGAAGAUCACCAAGCAGGCGUCUCUCCUCCACACCAGCCGCAGUCUUUCUUCUCUAAACCGCUCUUUGUCCUCUGGGGAGAGUGGACCCGGCUCACCAACACACAAUCUGUCACCACGGAGCCCAACACAGGGCUACAGGUCCAUACCUGACUCUGCCCACUCAGUUGGUGGAAACUCAUCUCAGAGCAGCUCCCCCAGCUCUAGCGUCCCAAACUCCCCGGCAAGUUCUGGCCACAUCCGCCCCAGCUCCCUGCACGGUCUCGCCCCGAAGCUCCAGCGUCAGUACCGCUCUCCACGACGCAAGUCUGCUGGCAACAUCCCCCUCUCCCCUCUGGCCCGCACACCUUCACCCACACCUCAGAGCAGCUCACCUCAGCGCUCACCCUCCCCGCUGCCUAGCCACAGUCUGGGACAGGCUGCUGUGGGCCAGUCAUUCCCUGUGAAGCUCCACUCCUCCCCUCCCCUGGUGAGGCAGAUAUCCAGACCUAAAAGUGCAGAGCCUCCUCGUUCACCACUUCUCAAGAGGGUGCAGUCUGCUGAGAAACUGGCUAAGCUGCCAGUGGGAGCAGCUGUGGGGAGUCGUAAACACAGCCUGGACAUCUCACAUUCAGAGUUUAAGAAGGAGAUUCUGCAGAGGGAGCCGAGCCUUGAGGGUCUACUUAAGCUGAAGGACAAACUGUCCGCCAUUCGACAGGACAGAGCAGAACGCAGGGAAUCGCUUCAAAAGCAAGAUGCCAUCCACGAGGUUGAUUCAUCUGAGGACGAGACAGAUGAGGGCUCAGAGGACAGCCAGGAUGGACGCAGGGGGACGACUUUUACCCCUCCCCCCCUCCUGAGGCCCACCACUGUGAGAACAGGCCCUGGGGGCACUCUGCCGUCCCUCUGCCUCUCCCCAUCCACUCCCCACGCCACAUUCACGCACACUGGGCCCUCACAGAUCGGCAGACCCACUCCCUCACACACCCUCCCCUCCGUUUCCGAAACAAAGUCUGCACAGAGCUUGUCAUCGGUGGGAGUAAAGGAGGGGAGCUCCAGCUCCUCAACAGAAGAGGGUGCAAGACAAGAGAGGAGGGUUCUGGAGCCAAGCGGUACCACCAAACCCACUCAGGGUCCCCUUCCCUUCUCCACUCCAGGCAGUGCAUUCAUCUCCGUCAGCAAGGACAUGUUCCUCAAGCCAACUCCUCCACAAGACUCAAAGGGCCUCAGAGGGAAGACGGGACCAUCAGAGCUCAGAGCAGAGGAUCAAACCCUGGAUAGCCCUAGAACCACUGCUCCAUCAACGACGAGCAAUACAAGUACUCCUGACUGCAGAACUACAACUAAGUCCCCAGACUCCCACACCGCCACAAGCACUACAGACAGCCAAGAGACUCCCCGCACGUCCUGCUCCUCUCCAGGCAUCCCCAAAGAGAAGAAGGAGGCCGACAACCGGAGACUAUGUGCCGCCGCUGCAGCUGCAAGUCUGAGUGCGUCUUCUUCGCCCAAUUCUAGCUCCAACUCAAGCUCCAGCUCCCCGGUUCCACCCUCUGAGAGUGGGGUAGACAGAGUUGUGUCCCAGCUUGCUACAGUAGCUAAAUCCGUUCUUGGUCCUGUUAAACUCAGCAGUGUUUCUGACAGAAAGGACCCGAAGCCAUCCAGAGGAGCAACCCCAGAAGUGCCCCAUACUGACCCCCUUUCAUUCCACUCCAAACAGGUCCCAGCUCCACAUCUAUCUCCGACCAGGCAGAGAACUGAGCGAGUUGCCUCUCCAGCAACCUCCCAGAGGUCAGCCAGAUCUUCAGCCCAGAAAGACUGUGCAGCCCCAGCACCGCCAUCCUGCAAGGACGUCCCAGGGUCUGUGGAUAGAGAGAAUGCUGCCACCUCUGCAUCUGUACAGCAGCUGGGUGCCGCUGCAGCUCAGGCCGCCCUCAAUGCAAGCCUCCCCGUCUCUGCAGCAUCUGAGCCACAGCGCAAGCGGUCCGAGCCCCAGACAGCAACUGUCACCAACGUCAUGUCCGCCUCCUCGCAACAAGACAAAGCAACCAGCAAGAAGACGUAG